GCGAACGGGGAGGAGCCCAGAGCCUGAAUCAGUGUGUGUGUUAGUGGAAGCGUCUGGAAAGGCGCGCGAUACAGGGUGACAGCCCCGUACACAAAAAUGCACAUGCUGUGAGCUCGAUGAGUAGGGCGGGACACGUGGUAUCCUGUCUGAAUAUGGGGGGACCAUCCUCCAAGGCUAAAUACUCCUGACUGACCGAUAGUGAACCAGUACCGUGAGGGAAAGGCGAAAAGAACCCCGGCGAGGGGAGUGAAAAAGAACCUGAAACCGUGUACGUACAAGCAGUGGGAGCACGCUUAGGCGUGUGACUGCGUACCUUUUGUAUAAUGGGUCAGCGACUUAUAUUCUGUAGCAAGGUUAACCGAAUAGGGGAGCCGAAGGGAAACCGAGUCUUAACUGGGCGUUAAGUUGCAGGGUAUAGACCCGAAACCCGGUGAUCUAGCCAUGGGCAGGUUGAAGGUUGGGUAACACUAACUGGAGGACCGAACCGACUAAUGUUGAAAAAUUAGCGGAUGACUUGUGGCUGGGGGUGAAAGGCCAAUCAAACCGGGAGAUAGCUGGUUCUCCCCGAAAGCUAUUUAGGUAGCGCCUCGUGAAUUCAUCUCCGGGGGUAGAGCACUGUUUCGGCAAGGGGGUCAUCCCGACUUACCAACCCGAUGCAAACUGCGAAUACCGGAGAAUGUUAUCACGGGAGACACACGGCGGGUGCUAACGUCCGUCGUGAAGAGGGAAACAACCCAGACCGCCAGCUAAGGUCCCAAAGUCAUGGUUAAGUGGGAAACGAUGUGGGAAGGCCCAGACAGCCAGGAUGUUGGCUUAGAAGCAGCCAUCAUUUAAAGAAAGCGUAAUAGCUCACUGGUCGAGUCGGCCUGCGCGGAAGAUGUAACGGGGCUAAACCAUGCACCGAAGCUGCGGCAGCGACGCUUAUGCGUUGUUGGGUAGGGGAGCGUUCUGUAAGCCUGUGAAGGUGUGCUGUGAGGCAUGCUGGAGGUAUCAGAAGUGCGAAUGCUGACAUAAGUAACGAUAAAGCGGGUGAAAAGCCCGCUCGCCGGAAGACCAAGGGUUCCUGUCCAACGUUAAUCGGGGCAGGGUGAGUCGACCCCUAAGGCGAGGCCGAAAGGCGUAGUCGAUGGGAAACAGGUUAAUAUUCCUGUACUUGGUGUUACUGCGAAGGGGGGACGGAGAAGGCUAUGUUGGCCGGGCGACGGUUGUCCCGGUUUAAGCGUGUAGGCUGGUUUUCCAGGCAAAUCCGGAAAAUCAAGGCUGAGGCGUGAUGACGAGGCACUACGGUGCUGAAGCAACAAAUGCCCUGCUUCCAGGAAAAGCCUCUAAGCAUCAGGUAACAUCAAAUCGUACCCCAAACCGACACAGGUGGUCAGGUAGAGAAUACCAAGGCGCUUGAGAGAACUCGGGUGAAGGAACUAGGCAAAAUGGUGCCGUAACUUCGGGAGAAGGCACGCUGAUAUGUAGGUGAAGCGACUUGCUCGUGGAGCUGAAAUCAGUCGAAGAUACCAGCUGGCUGCAACUGUUUAUUAAAAACACAGCACUGUGCAAACACGAAAGUGGACGUAUACGGUGUGACGCCUGCCCGGUGCCGGAAGGUUAAUUGAUGGGGUCAGCGCAAGCGAAGCUCUUGAUCGAAGCCCCGGUAAACGGCGGCCGUAACUAUAACGGUCCUAAGGUAGCGAAAUUCCUUGUCGGGUAAGUUCCGACCUGCACGAAUGGCGUAAUGAUGGCCAGGCUGUCUCCACCCGAGACUCAGUGAAAUUGAACUCGCUGUGAAGAUGCAGUGUACCCGCGGCAAGACGGAAAGACCCCGUGAACCUUUACUAUAGCUUGACACUGAACAUUGAGCCUUGAUGUGUAGGAUAGGUGGGAGGCUUUGAAGUGUGGACGCCAGUCUGCAUGGAGCCGACCUUGAAAUACCACCCUU
rnacentral:rRNA from 1 species